rnacentral:lncRNA from 1 species
AAAAACUUGCUAUACCGCUUCUGUUUUCGUUCUUAGAACAUAUUAGUUUCUUUUGAGAAAAGUCAAACUCAUUCCCAUUACUUUCUUUUCAAUAAUCACCUCUCAGUUUUUCAUCAGUCACUCAAUUUCGAAUUUCAUCUCCAUUCUCUUUCAAAGAAGAACACACGAAGAAUUUUAGCUUGCUUUACCUGCUUCUCGAAUUUCAGGUAUUGUUUCCUUUAAUUUUGAUUUUUUUUUUUACCUCUCUGUUUCUAGUUUGAUAAUUUAGGGUUAUACUUGAAUUAAUUGUAUUUUUAAUCAUCCUAGGUUGAUUUAAUUGAUUCCAAGUCUCAAUUUCCUGUUCAACAAACAAGGAACGCACGAGUAAUUUUCAUUUUCAUUCUCAAUUUUGAAAGAAUCAAUUUAUUUUAUGUGUUCAAUUUUGUUUAUUUAACUUAGGAUAUCUUUUUCAUUCUCGUCUUCAAGCAGACUAUAGCGUUGCUCCUCUCAUUGAUUAUAUUGAGAACAAUGCUUUCUCCUUAAUUCCACCAAGAACAACGUUGAUGUCAGGUGAUAAUUGAAUGUGUA